GACGAACGCUGGCGGCGUGCUUAACACAUGCAAGUCGAACGAAGUGGCGAACGGGUGAGUACUACGUGGGUAACCUGCCCUCCUUUAUGGGAUAAGCCUUGGAAACGGGGUCUAAUACCGACUACAGGUGGAUGGGCUCGCGGCGUAUCAGCUUGUUGGUGGGGUGAUGGCCUACCAAGGCGGUGCCGGGUAGCCAGCCUGAGAGGCUGAACUGCCACAUUGGCACUGUGCUACGGCCCAGGCUCCUAAGGGGGGGGGCAUUUGGGGAAAUGGCAGAAUGGGCGAAAGACCGAUGCAGCGAGGCUGCGUGGGGCAUGAAGGCUUUCGGGUUGUAAACCUCUUGAGCUAGCGAACGGGUAGGUGGAGAAGAAGCGCCGGCUAACUACGUGCCAGCAGCCGCGGUAAUAC
rnacentral:rRNA from 1 species